rnacentral:rRNA from 1 species
UACGGGGGGGGCAAGCGUUGUUCGGAAUUACUGGGCGUAAAGGGCUCGUAGGCGGCCAACUAAGUCAGACGUGAAAUCCCUCGGCUUAACCGGGGAACUGCGUCUGAUACUGGAUGGCUUGAAUCCGGGAGAGGGAUGCGGAAUUCCAGGUGUAGCGGUGAAAUGCGUAGAUAUCUGGAGGAACACCGGUGGCGAAGGCGGCAUCCUGGACCGGCAUUGACGCUGAGGAGCGAAAGCCAGGGGAGCAAACGGA